CAGACGCCGUAAUCCCGCGUGGCGGCCUCCGCCUCCACUGUCGGGUCAGACGCAGCCGCGCCGGCCUCCGCCGCCGCUCCCCCUCGCCGCCGUUCGCGGGCAGGGCUGGGAUCUGGCCGCCCCUCGCCGCGCCCCUGCGAACCCGGCCACCGGUCCCCAGAUCUGGCGCUCCUCCUUGCCGGCAGCCAGCGACAGCGAGCGGUGACGCUAGGGCUGGAGGAGGACCCGCCCGAUCCGCUCCGUCCCUCGCGGAUCCGCCCCGUCGCACGCGUUCUCCUCCUCCCCCGCCCGCCCGCCUUCGCGUGCGUCCUCCUUCUCCGCUAGUCAGGGCGCGUCGUCCUCCCCCACCAGGCCGUCGCCGCAGGCGUCGCUCUCGCUGACCAGGGACGCCCUCGCCCCCGUGGUGCAGGAGAUGGAAGAAAGCUGCACCUCGCCGCCGCCGUCACGGGAUCCGGCAGGAGGAAGGACGCAUGCGCGCCGCCGUGCCGCUUCUCGCGCCGACUGCCGCUGCCCCGCGCGCGUGCCGUGGCUGCCCACGCCGGCCGCUGCUGCCCCACGCGCUGGCCGCGGCUGCCCGCCUGUCCUUCUCCUGCGGCUGCCUGCACCGCGCCCGUCCGCUGCUGCCGCCAAGCUCAAAACCCUCAAGCCACUCCAAGACGCCGUCGAGGCACCCUGCCCCCUCGCGGCCGAUUGCGGCAGCUGCAUGACCAAGUCCCUUGAGUACGCCGCGCAGAUCGGACACAAGCACCACCAGGGGACAACGGAAGCAGUAGCGGACCCAGAGAUUGGGUAGAGCCUGGGCACAAGUUGCAGCAGAGCUGCCCUUGUUCUGUGUCUUGGCAAGUUGCGUAUAGGCCUUGCUGAGGGAUAUUUUUUUGCCUAGCUCAACUGCACGCAUGGUACAACCUCUCACUUGGAGCCCGGGCCGGUGCCCAGGGUCGCCGGGCCCCUGGGUCCGCCCUGAACGGAAGGGAACAGCCCAACAGGGUUGAUGUGACCACGUUCUUCGAACAUGGCGGCCUCUCCUUGAGGGCACGAAUAAGAACCUCAUCAUCAACGUGAGUGCUACUUGGUUAAUUUCAUGCUGAAAGACUUUGUUUGGCCCAUUUCUUUUCCGGUAUUUCUUUUGUUUUUGCCAGCAAAAGGGAGAUUUGGCAUCGCAUCCAUUGAAUAAUUUAGGCAGCUUCACGAGCUACAACCACAAAUUCCAUAAACUUCAACACAUGAUUGGUCUUUGUCCUUGUCAGGACAAGAAGAGGCUAUGCUUGAGUUUCUGUGAUGAUUAAAUCAGACCAACCUUUUAGGUGCAGGGAAAUACAGUUGCUUCCUGACUUAGGUACUUGCUCGGGUAGAAUGAGGGAUUCGUUCAGUUUGGCUUCUCGCGGUCACUGAGUGUUAUGUUGUUGGAUGGGAUUUCUUCUUCCGAAGAGAAAAGAUGAAACUAAAAAGGGUGUUCCAGCCAUGGGUCCUAAUGUCUGUGAUGAGAUUUGUUUGGUUUGUAAGAAGCUAGCUUGCCUUGGACUCCAUUCGUGACCUUAAACUUCACUGCCAUGGCUUGCCCUGUAAUUAUGCCAACAAUUGCAGGAUUUGUUUGCUAUGGCCGCAUAGUGCCAAUGAUCAAGGCUAUGUCAAUGGUUCACUGUAUUGGACUAUUGGUUGCUUCUUCUUGAAUAUUUGUCUAAUUAUAAACAUUUUAGUUGAGUUUCAGAAGUUCAGAAACAUAAAUUGCAUUGACCUUGUUGCUCAAAUGUACCAUUUUAUUUUAUUUAGUGUAUAUUAUUAUU